ACAUUACUGAAUAGUCCCACAAUAGGACGAAAACGACCGUCCAGUGU
rnacentral:hammerhead_ribozyme from 1 species